AGAGAGAGACAUGCGCGCAUAUCAAUAAGCGGAGGAAAAGAAACUAACAAGGAUUCCCCUAGUAACGGCGAGUGAAGCGGGAAGAGCUCAAAUUUGAAAUCUUAAAGGGUUUCCCUUUACGGAAUUGUAGUUUAAAGAAGUGUUUUCUGUUGAGGUUUUGGUAAAAGUUCUUUGGAAUAGGACAUCAUAGAGGGUGAGAAUCCCGUAUUUGACCUUUACUUUCAACUUUGUGAUACACUUUCAAAGAGUCGGAUUGUUUGGGAAUGCAGUCCAAAAUGGGUGGUAAAUUUCAUCUAAAGCUAAAUAUUGGCGAGAGACCGAUAGCGAACAAGUACCGUGAGGGAAAGAUGAAAAGAACUUUGAAAAGAGAGUUAAACAGUACGUGAAAUUGUCAAAAGGGAAGCGUUUGACACCAGUGUUGUUUUUCUGAAAAUCAAUUAAAGAACUGUUUAUGCUAAGCUGUUUAGACUUUAUCAGCUAUACUGUUUAGUUUUGAGCUUUUCUUUAAUGCACUUUUCAGUUAACAAGUCAACAUCAAUUUCUUUUGCUGUAAAAAAGCUUGAGGAAGGUGGCUUGAGAUUCGUCUUAAGUGUUUAUAGCCUCUUGCCUAUGCAGUCGGAGAGAUUGAGGUCUGCAGCGUAGAUCCUUCGGGGCUAAAUGCAUUUGUGCUAAGUUAUAGCAUUUUAUAGACAACUUGUUGACUAUGAUUUGUCUUGUAGCUUACUCGCUUAUGUUAUUUUACCUACGCUUAGGAUGUUGAAGACUCUACAGAGAUA
rnacentral:rRNA from 1 species